rnacentral:rRNA from 1 species
GGGAACUACGAGCCAAGCUUAAAACCCAAAGGACUUGACGGUACCCCAUAUCCCCCUAGAGGAGCCUGUCCUAUAAUCGAUAACCCCCGUUUAACCUCACCAUUUUUAGCAACUCAGCCUGUAUACCUCCGUCGUCAGCUUACCACGUGAGCGCUAGUGAGCUCAAUGUUUUUCCAACUAAACGUCAGGUCAAGGUGCAACACAUGAAAUGGGAAGAGAUGGGCUACACUUUCUAAUAUAGAUCACACGGAAGACUAACUAUGAAAUCUAGUCAGAAG